UGGUUGUUACGUGAAAAACUCCGAAACAACACAAUUGGUUUUGCUAAUAUUGUUUAGUAAACAAAUAUGUACAAAAAAUUAUUGUUAAGUAAAAGCACUUCAAGGGGAUUUUCCACUCAAAUAAAAACAGCUAAAGCUAAUUUAAAAAAUUGGAAAAGUGUUGUCGGCUUAGAGGUGCAUGCCCAGUUGCUUACCGAUUCAAAAUUGUUUUCUGGUAGCAGCAAUGAAUUUGGAGCGCCGCUUAAUUCAGCGGUUUCACAUUUCGAUGCUUCUUUACCUGGCACUUUACCGGUACUUAAUAGGAAAUGCGUAGAAAUUGGCGUAAAAACAGCUAUUGCACUUGGUUGUCGGGUCAACGAAGUAUCUAUGUUUGACCGUAAACAUUAUUUUUAUGCUGACUUACCGGUUGGAUAUCAAAUCACUCAACAAAGAGCUGCUUUAGCAAACGAUGGCGAGUUGACAUUUCCUGUUAUUGUGCCGGGAAAGAAAACGUACUAUAAGAAGGCACGUCUACUGCAAUUACAAUUGGAACAAGACAGUGGCAAAUCUUUACACGACGAAGAAUUAAAGAGAAGUCUAGUCGAUCUUAAUCGUGCUGGUGCACCACUUAUAGAACUAGUAUUUGCACCUGAUUUAGAAACUGGCGAAGAAGCAGCAUCAUUAGUGAAAGAAUUAAUAUUAAUCUUAAAGUCCCUGCGUUCAUGUUCCUGUAAAAUGGAAGAAGGUGCACUUCGUGUUGACGCUAAUAUCUCCAUUCACAAGAGUGGUGAACCUUUUGGCGUACGCACUGAGGUAAAAAAUAUUGGGUCAGUUCGCAGCAUUUCUCAAGCAAUCACUUUCGAAAUACAACGCCAGUUUGAAGUUAUAUUAAAUGGUGGUGUUAUUACAAACGAAACCCGCUCAUGGGAUGCAACAACGCGUUGUACAGUGCCUAUGCGCGAUAAAGAAGUUUUACAAGAUUAUCGUUUCAUGCCGGAACCUAAUUUACCACCCUUACGUUUAAAUACGUCUACAACUGACACUUCCUGUAGCGAUGUUAUUUCUGUAUCUGCAAUCAGUAGUGAAAUACCUGAGUUACCAGAGGAUACUCGAUCAAAUCUAAUAAAAAAAUAUCAGCUUAGUCAGGAUGUUGCCGGAAUUUUAGUGAAUGAGACAAAAUUGUUACAAUACUUUAUAAGUAUAUUGGAGCAUGUUCCUGGCAUACCGGCGAAACUUGUUACAAACUUUUUAUUAAAUGAUCUCUUAACUUUUUGCAACAAAGCAAAUGUCGACGUCGAGGACUGUCAACUUAGCUAUAUCCACCUUGAAGAUAUUCUUUCAGCGCUUCAUGCUGGCACCAUAAAUUUACAGGCUGGGCGAGAGCUGAUUGAAAUCAUCCAUGAGGAUCCUUCACAAAAAGUCCAAACGCUUAUAAAAGACCACAAUCUGGAACAAAUUACUGAUGAGGAAAUGAUCGAGCAAUUCUGCCGGCAGGCGAUUGAACAACAGGAACAAGCUGUAAAGCAAUAUAAAAGUGGUAAAAAGAAAGCGCUAUUCGCUAUUGUCGGCGAAGUGUCGAAAUUGUCUAAACAAAAGGCUAACAUGAAAAUGGUCGUCGCUUUCCUAGAGAAGAUUUUAAAGUCAAAAUAAACCGAAGUUGAAUAAAAAAUCUCCUCACCCCGGUGACCUUCUGCAGAUACCAGCGUCGAAUGCAUAUAGCAUUGUCUGCUCAAGUAUUAAUAGAUAGAUAUUUCUAAGUUCCAUCGUCGAAUAUGCAAAUGCCAAAUGCAGAAAUUCCUGGAUUGCCCUGAAUUGGUAAAUUGGUUAUAAAAGUGUACUAAAGACUUUAAACUCAAC